rnacentral:rRNA from 1 species
UACGAAGGGGGCUAGCGUUGCUCGGAAUUACUGGGCGUAAAGCGCACGUAGGCGGCUUUCUAAGUCGGACGUGAAAUCCCUCGGCUUAACCGGGGAACUGCGUCCGAUACUGGUUGGCUUGAGUUUGGGAGAGGGAUGCGGAAUUCCAGGUGUAGCGGUGAAAUGCGUAGAUAUCUGGAGGAACACCGGUGGCGAAGGCGGCAUCCUGGACCAAUACUGACGCUGAGGAGCGAAAGCCAGGGGAGCAAACGGG